rnacentral:lncRNA from 1 species
ACAUCCUCUCCUCUCCUCUCUCAUUCUCCACGCCUCCUCUCUCCCUCUACACACGACCCGCCGUCCCGCGGCAAUGAUGCCUAGAGAGCAGGAGCAGCGGUGCGCAACGAGCCGGGGAGCAGCGCCGGCAAGCUACUCCUCGGCGUCGGCGGCUCUCCUUCCGCGCAGCGACGCCUCUCUGUCCCUCGCCUCCUCUCCCUCGCCAUGGGGCCGCGGGAGGGCUCGAUGUUGACGGGUGGUGGCAAGCGGCGGCGCCCUCCCUUCCGGUGGGAGGGGAGGCGGUGGGCAGGGGCGGCGCCCUCCCCUCUGCCGGAUCCAGUGGGAAGGGAGGCGGCGGCGGUCCGGCGUCCUAGAUCCAUCCUCUUCUACUCCAUCUCCUCCUCUUCCUGCACUCACCCUUCCCGGCAAGGGCGAGGCGACUCGAGGCGGCGGCGAUGGCGACUCGGUCUUGCGGACUCCUCCCGCCACCGGCUACGGCAUCAACCGGCGACGACCGCCAUGGUAGCGAGCUGACGGCGACAACGGGCUGCAGGUCGGAGAUGGGCCGAUCUGGGAGGUGCGAUGGUGACGCCGCCCCCUCCUGUUCUUCCUCCCACACCAGAAGCAGAAGCAGUGAUGAUGGCGAUGAUAAUAAAUUACUCAUGUGAUUUGUUCAUGUUUAUUCAUGUUUUUUUAAUCUUAAGGAUUUGUAUGUGUUGUUCAUAUCUUGAAAUAAGGUUAUGGGGAUUAUUGUUUGUUGUUCAU